GUUUGAUCCUGGCUCAGGAUGAACGCUGGCGGCGUGCUUAACACAUGCAAGUCGAACGAGCCUUCGGGCUAGUGGCGGACGGGUGAGUAACGCGUGGGAAUCUGCCCUCAGGAGGGGGAUAACGGCCGGAAACGGCCGCUAAUACCCCAUAUGCCGAGAGGUGAAAUGAAUUUCGCCUGAGGAUGAGCCCGCGUCUGAUUAGCUAGUUGGUGUGGUAAUGGCGCACCAAGGCGACGAUCAGUAGCUGGUCUGAGAGGAUGAUCAGCCACACUGGGACUGAGACACGGCCCAGACUCCUACGGGAGGCAGCAGUGGGGAAUUUUCCGCAAUGGGCGAAAGCCUGACGGAGCAACGCCGCGUGAGGGAUGAAGGCCUCUGGGCUGUAAACCUCUUUUCUCAAGGAAGAAGACAUGACGGUACUUGAGGAAUAAGCCACGGCUAAUUCCGUGCCAGCAGCCGCGGUAAUACGGGAGUGGCAAGCGUUAUCCGGAAUUAUUAGGCGUAAAGCGUCCGCAGGCGGCCUUGUAAGUCUGUCGUUAAAGCGUGGAGCUUAACUCCAUUUGAGCGAUGGAAACUACAAGGCUUGAGUGUGGUAGGGGCAGAGGGAAUUCCCGGUGUAGCGGUGAAAUGCGUAGAUAUCGGGAAGAACACCAGUGGCGAAGGCGCUCUGCUGGGCCAUAACUGACGCUCAUGGACGAAAGCCAGGGGAGCGAAAGGGAUUAGAUACCCCUGUAGUCCUGGCCGUAAACGAUGAACACUAGGUGUCGGGGGAAUCGACCCCCUCGGUGUCGUAGCUAACGCGUUAAGUGUUCCGCCUGGGGAGUACGCACGCAAGUGUGAAACUCAAAGGAAUUGACGGGGGCCCGCACAAGCGGUGGAGUAUGUGGUUUAAUUCGAUGCAACGCGAAGAACCUUACCAGGGUUUGACAUCCUGCGAAUCCCUUGGAAACGAGGGAGUGCCUUCGGGAGCGCAGAGACAGGUGGUGCAUGGCUGUCGUCAGCUCGUGUCGUGAGAUGUUGGGUUAAGUCCCGCAACGAGCGCAACCCACGUCUUUAGUUGCCAGCAUUCAGUUGGGCACUCUAGAGAGACCGCCGGUGAUAAACCGGAGGAAGGUGUGGAUGACGUCAAGUCAUCAUGCCCCUUACAUCCUGGGCUACACACGUACUACAAUGCUACGGACAAAGGGUUGCAAGCUCGCGAGAGUUAGCUAAUCCCAUAAACCGUGGCUCAGUUCAGAUCGUAGGCUGCAACUCGCCUACGUGAAGGAGGAAUCGCUAGUAAUCGCAGGUCAGCAUACUGCGGUGAAUACGUUCCCGGGCCUUGUACACACCGCCCGUCACACCAUGGAAGUUGGCCAUGCCCGAAGUCGUUACUCCAACCCUUGUGGAGGAGGACGCCGAAGGUGGGGCUGAUGACUGGGGUGAAGUCGUAACAAGGUA
rnacentral:rRNA from 1 species